AUUGAACGCUGGCGGCAUGCCUUACACAUGCAAGUCGAACGGCAGCGCGGGAGCAAUCCUGGCGGCGAGUGGCGAACGGGUGAGUAAUAGUAUCGGAACGUGCCCAGUAGUGGGGGAUAGCCCGGCGAAAGCCGGAUUAAUACCGCAUGAGACCUGAGGGUGAAAGCGGGGGAUCGCAAGACCUCGCGCUAUUGGAGCGGCCGAUAUCAGAUUAGCUAGUUGGUGGGGUAAAGGCCUACCAAGGCAACGAUCUGUAGUUGGUCUGAGAGGACGACCAGCCACACUGGGACUGAGACACGGCCCAGACUCCUACGGGAGGCAGCAGUGGGGAAUUUUGGACAAUGGGCGCAAGCCUGAUCCAGCAAUG
rnacentral:rRNA from 1 species